AUGUCGCGCAUCCGCCUCCGCCGCCGCCGCCGCCACCGCCUCCCCUCUUCCACCUCGCGACCCUCACCCUCGUGGUCUCCCCACGCCGCCUGUGCGGCGGCCACGGAGCGCGUCCGCGCCGGAACGCUCAGCCCGCAAGACGCACACCACCUGUUCGACGAAUUGUUAAGGCAGGCCACCCCGGUCCCUGAGCGCUCCCUGAACGGAUUCCUCGCCGCCCUCAGCCGUGCUACGCCCUCCAAAGCCUGCAGAGACGGCCCCGCCCUCGUCCUCUCCCUCUUCAACCGUGUCUGCCGAGAAGAAGCCGGCGGCAUGCGGGUGGCGCCGCCCACCAUCUUCACCUACGGCGUCCUCAUGAACUGCUGCUGCCGCACCCGUCGUCCGGAACUUGGGCUCGCCUUCUUCGGCCGCCUCCUAAGGACGGGCCUGAAGGCAGACAAGACCAUCGCCAACACUGUCCUCAAGUGCCUGUGCUGCGCUAAACGGACAGACGAUGCUGUGAAAGUGCUGCGUCGUAGGAUGAGCGAGCUGGGGUGUGUGCCUGAUGCCUUCUCAUACGCCAUUGUCCUGAAGGGCUUAUGUGAUGAUAACAGGAGCCAGCAGGCGCUCGACCUGCUCCGGAUGAUGGCGAAAGAAGGUGUGUGCUCCCCUGACGUGGUCACAUAUAACACGGUCAUCCACGGCUUCUUUAAGGAAGGAAAAAUAGGCAAGGCCUGCAAUCUAUUCCAUGAAAUGACGAAGCAAGGGUUUGUGCCUAAUGUGGUGACAUAUAACUCGGUUAUCAGUGCAUUGUGCAAGGCCCGAGCAAUGGACAAUGCAGAGUUGUUCCUUCGGGAGAUGGUUGAUAACGGCGUUCAACCGAAUAAAGUGACAUAUACUAGCAUGAUCCAUGGAUAUUCCACUUUGGGCCAGUGGAAAGAGGCGACUAAACUGUUCAGAGAAAUGACAAGCAGUGGUCUUAUACCAGAUAUUGUCACUUGGAAUUCGUUCAUUGACUCCCUUUGCAAGCAUGGAAGAAGCAAAGAAGCUGCAGAAAAUUUUCAUUCCAUGUCUGCAAAGGGCCACAAGCCUGAUAUCAUCUCCUACGCCACUCUUCUUCAUGGGUAUGCCAAUGAAGGAAGCUUUCCUGAUAUGAUGAGUUUCUUUAAGUCAAUGGAAGGCGACGGUAUUGUAGCCAACUGCCAAGUUUUCAACAUAUUAAUUGAUGCAUAUGCUAAACGAGGAAUGAUGGACGAAGCUAUGCUCAUAUUUACUGAAAUGCCAGGACAAGGAGUCAAUCCAAAUGUAGUCACCUAUUCAACUGUGAUAGCUUCACUUUGCAGAAUGGGUAGGCUGGCUGAUGCAAUGAAUAAGUUCAGUGAGAUGAUUGGUACGGGAGUACAACCGAACACAGUUGUUUAUCACUCCCUAGUUCAGGGCUUAUGUACACAUGGUGAUUUGGUGAAAGCGAAGGAGUUGAUUUCUGAAAUGAUGAAUAAAGGUAUUCCUCGUCCAAACAUUGCAUUCUUCAGUUCAAUAGUACACAGUCUAUGCAAAGAAGGAAGGGUUAUGGAUGCACACCAUAUCUUUGACUUGGUUAAAGACAUAGGGGAGAGAUCUGACAUCAUUAUGUUUAAUACGCUGAUUGAUGGAUAUUGCCUAAUUGGUGAGAUGGGCAAAGCAGUCAGUGUACUAGAUGUCAUGAUAUCAGCCGGCAUUGAGCCUGAUAUCUUUACAUAUAAUACACUUGUCAAUGGUUAUUUUAAGAGUGGAAGGAUUGAUGAUGGGUUGAAUCUGUUCAGAGAAAUGUCACAUAAGAAAAUUAAACCUUCAACUGUUACAUAUAACAUCAUACUGGAUGGAUUAUUUCGUGCUGGGAGAACCGUUGCUGCCAAGAAAAUGCUCCAUGAGAUGAUCGGAUGUGGAACAACUGUGAGCUUGUCCACAUACAACAUAAUUCUUAGAGGACUUUGUAGAAAUAAUUGCACCGACGAAGCAAUCGCCAUGUUCCAGAAAUUACGCACAAUUAAUGUAAAGUUCAAUAUCACAACACUCAAUACCAUGAUUAAUUCAAUGUACACUGUUCAGAGAAGAGAAGAAGCUAAAGAUUUGUUUGCUGCAAUAUCAGACAGCGGGUUGGUGCCCAAUGUCUCUACAUACGGCAUAAUGAUACGAAAUCUUCUAAAAGAAGGAUCAGUGAAAGAAGCUGACAAUAUGUUCUUAUCAAUGGAGAAGAGUGGUUGUGCUCCUUGCUCCCGUCUUUUAAAUGAUACCAUUAGAACGUUAUUGGAGAAGGGGGAGAUAGUCAAGGCCGGAAAUUAUAUGUCUAAAGUUGAUGGCAAGAGCAUCUCACUUGAAGCUUCAACUAGUUCAUUGUUGUUGUCUCUGUUUUCUGGGAAAGGUAAAUAUCGUGAACAAAUACAAUUGCUCCCUGUAAAAUACCAAUUCUUCGGUGGAGUUAGUUGA
rnacentral:rRNA from 1 species